CUGCCUGCCUGCCUGACUGAGUGACUGCCUGCCUGACUGACUGAACUGCCUGCCUGCCUGCCUGACUGAACUGCCUGCCUGCCUGACUGACUGACUGAAAGACUGCCUCGUAAUUACGCCACAUUACUUCACUUGACUGCUGACGUCAGAGAGCGUGGGAAAGAAAAUUACCUAUAAAGACAGGCACACCUCAGCACCAGGAGUCAGACAAUAGCAUCGAGACAGCUCACCAUCAGCAUCACCACCACCACCACAACCACAACCAAGACGUUUCCUUAUUAUACUUCAUCAGCGUCUUCUAGUGAUUUUUGCAGCCAAGGUAGAGCAUGAGGUCUGGCUGGGUGGCCAUGGGCGGCCUGCUGCUUAUCACUUUCGCUGCAGUCGCCGUAAUGGGGGUUAAAGCAGCUCCGGUUCGGCCAUCCCCGGCUGAUGAAAUGGUUACUGGUGACACCACUACCACCACCACCACCAUGGACCCUCUGGAUGAAUUCUGCCACGAGGCAUGCAAGGCGGGUGUGGGCGGCCCAGAAUGUGGCUGUCCUGACCACCCCAUUGGUUAACGGUGUCCUCUCCUCCGCUCCAUACUCAUUCUGGCAUCACUGGCGGCGGCCAUCACGGGGAGGACUCUCUGCAGUAAUAAUAUCAGUAGUAGUAGUAGUAGCAGCAGUAGCAGCCGCGGGAAGUAAUAAAAAAGAGGAUAACCAGAAGGGAGUUUAUAAUAUAAUUUCAUUUAUGAUUUAUGAAAUAUAUAACUAAUAAAGCAGAUUAUCACUGCC